AUACUUACCUGGUACAGGGAGCACCGUGAUCAAAAAGGCGGUCUCCCCAGGUCGAGGCCUUUCCAUUGCACUCCGGUUAGGCUGAAGCCUGCGAUUGCCCCAAAUGUGGGCAACUCGGGUACGCAAUUUUUUAGUGUGGGGGGACUGCGUUCGCGCUAUCCCCUG